CGCAAGAGUGAACUAGCUAACUGAAAUCAUAGAAUUUUUUCAAAUUUAUGAUGUCGUAAGGGAAAAUAAUGAUAAUACCUUACUAUGAGUGUCGUCCAAAUCUAGUGCCAGAAGACUCGGUAAGACUAGAGACGCAAACGUUAAUCAUCAUAAACAGGCGUAAAGGGUUUGUAGGCAGUUUUCAUCAGAUUAUGAUUCCAAAAUAAAGUAAUCUAAUUGAAAGCUAGAAUCAAAAAGAGGUUAUAGUGUAUAACGCCUAGAGGAGGGCUGAUAUCCUUAGAUCCUAGGCAGAAUACUUAGGGCGAAGGCCACUUUCCAUUAAUGAUUGACGCUGAGAAACGAAGGUUAGGGUAGGAAAUAGGAUUAGAUACCCCGGUACUCCUUUCUGUAAACGAUGAAUGGUAGUCAUUAGUUUUUAAAAAUAACUAGAGGCGAAGUUAACACAAUAACCAUUCCGCCUUGUGAGUACUACUGCAAAGUAGAAAACAAAAAAAUUAGUCGGUCUCGAAGCAAACGGAGUGAAGCAUGUUAUUU
rnacentral:rRNA from 1 species